GGAUGAAGAACGUAGCGAAAUGCGAUAAGUAAUGUGAAUUGCAGAAUUCAGUGAAUCAUCGAAUCUUUGAACGCACAUUGCGCCCAUUAGUAUUCUAGUGGGCAUGCCUGUUCGAGCGUCAUUUCAACCCUUAAGCCUAGCUUAGUGUUGGGAGACUGCCUAACCGCAGCUCCUCAAAACCAGUGGCAGAGUCCAGUCGUGCUCUGAGCGUAGUAAUUUUUUUAUCUCGCUUCUGCAAGCCGGCUGAACGAUAGCCAUAAACCUAUUAUUUUCUAAUGGUUGACCUCGGAUCAGGUAGGAAUACCCGCUGAACUUAAGCAUAUCAAUAAGCGGAGGA
rnacentral:misc_RNA from 1 species